rnacentral:rRNA from 1 species
UACGGAGGAUCCAAGCGUUAUCCGGAUUUAUUGGGUUUAAAGGGUGCGUAGGCUGUAUAAUAAGUCAGAGGUGAAAUUUUUGAGCUUAACUUAAAGAUUGCCUUUGAAACUGUCAUACUUGAGUACAGCUGAAGUUGGCGGAAUGUGACAAGUAGCGGUGAAAUGCAUAGAUAUGUCGCAGAACCCCGAUAGCGAAGGCAGCUAACUAAAGUGUCACUGACGCUGAUGCACGAAAGCGUGGGGAUCAAACAGG